AAAAUGGAUCUCUAAUCAACGUUAGACAGUUCCACUUUAGAAAUCAAUAUGGAGAGUAAUGAUUCACCUAGAUGCAUUCUUUUUCUUUUCCUCCUCUGGGAUAAGAAGAGAUGCAUUCUCCUGUGCAUUUUUUGUGUCACCCGGAUGACGGACUUGGUGGAGGUUAUGCUCAGAAUCAUGCCACAGUAACGGGUUCUUUAGGGAUGACGGACUUGGUGGAGGUUAUGCUCAGAAUCAUGCCACAGUAACAGGUUCUUUAGGCUCACUGUCUGCUAAAAGAAGUUUUGAUGAUCCUAAAGACGACAAAUAUUUGCAUUUCUUAUACUGUCUUCAGCUUACAAUUGAAUUCUCUUGAAUGAAUUGUUAUAUGAGAAUGGUCAUCAUCAUUAGAAAAGUUGGAGGAUAAAUCGUGGCUCAGGAUGCAUCCCUUUCCUACGCCAUCAUCCAACGUCCCAGCUUAUUCUGCUGCAGUUUUUCAUCCGUAACGGAUGAAAUCAAUUAGCACCAUUAGGUGCCUUAAAAUGUUUGAGAUUAGUCUGGUUCCUAAUUUUACUCAAUUAGUCCGGUUCCUGAUUACUUAGAACACCAGUCAAAGUAGAGAUUAACUAUUCAUUGUUAUCGGAGAAGUUGUAGGAGACAACGGUUUAUGUGAUUUACACCAGAAGAAGUUGGAGUAAAUACGAUAAGGGUAUUUUUAGCACAUUGUCAGACUUGCACAUAUAGUUUUGUCAAUGUUUAGUUUGGUAGCUUAAAUCGGUAUUUUUUAGAUGGAAUAUUGUUAUAUAUCAGUUCACAUCUAAUAUGGAAGUGAUGGUCAGUCAAUAUUUCUUAUAUCCAUAUCAUGGGCGAAAGACUUGCAAUAAGCGACACUGCGAUUAACACAAUCGGUACAUGAACCAAGAUGGUAGAAAGAAUGCCAAUCCAAGCCAAGACAGUAAAAAAUGUUAGAGCAUACCUGGUAGUGGUUUGUUGCUUUUCAAUUUCCCAUGCUGGAUGAUGACACUACCAAGCAUACAUGGGAUAGGUGGAGGAUCUACCAAGCAUUUAUAGUGAUGGUGAAGGUGGUUGACGAUUCCUUUUUAUAGUAGUUAUCAGCUCCAUAAGAUUUUAAAUAUGCAUUUUAUACAUGAAAAUGUUACAACGAAGAGUUUCAGUAACUAUUGUUUUUUUUAAGAGAAAAUUAUUCAAUAAUAAGAGUACUUUGAGUAGGGAUGUUACUGCAACGAUGCUGUCCUUUUAAAGCUAUGUUUGCACCUUCAAACUUCAUAGUAUUGUGAAUG